rnacentral:rRNA from 1 species
AUUGAACGCUGGCGGCAGGCCUAACACAUGCAAGUCGAACGAGUGGCGGACGGGUGCGUAAUGUAUGGGAAACUGCCUGAUGGAGGGGGAUAACUACUGGAAACGGUAGCUAAUACCGCAUACCAUCAGAUGUGCCCAGAUGGGAUUAGCUAGUUGGUGGGGUAACGGCUCACCAAGGCGACGAUCCCUAGCUGGUCUGAGAGGAUGACCAGCCACACUGGAACUGAGACACGGUCCAGACUCCUACGGGGGGCAGCAGUGGGGAAUAUUUCACAAUGGGCGCAAGCCUGAUGCAGCCAUGCCGGGUGUAUGAAGCAGGCCUUCGGAUUGUAAAGUACUUUCAGGGAGGGUGCGUUAACCGCAAAAGAAGAACCGGCUAACUCCGUGUCAGCAGCCGCGGUAAUAC